GGCAUGAAGUACAUAUUGGUGUCAGCACUAAAUUGCUUCGAAGUUAUAUCAUGCAUAGCUAGAUCAAGCAAAAAUAUAAUGAGCUUUAGCUCAUUUGUUUUAACAGCAUGGAAAUUCUCUAAAUUUAACCCUUUAAGUGGCAAUGUACCCAGAUGCACCCUACUUUAUUAUUUUACUCUGUCUAUUACAGUAAUGCCAGAUGAUUUUACUCGUAGCACUGUGCACAAUACAAUAGUACCUUCAUAAGAAAUGUUCAAUAUGUUCUCGCAAAAUGAUCAAUAUUUUGCA